UACGAAGGGGGCUAGCGUUGCUCGGAAUCACUGGGCGUAAAGGGUGCGUAGGCGGGUUUUUAAGUCAGGGGUGAAAUCCUGGAGCUCAACUCCAGAACUGCCUUUGAUACUGAAGAUCUCGAGUCCGGGAGAGGUGAGUGGAACUGCGAGUGUAGAGGUGAAAUUCGUAGAUAUUCGCAAGAACACCAGUGGCGAAGGCGGCUCACUGGCCCGGUACUGACGCUGAGGCACGAAAGCGUGGGUAGCAAACAGG
rnacentral:rRNA from 1 species